GAAAGCCGUAUGCUUUGGAAGAAGCUUGUACAGUUUGGGAAGGGGUUUUUAUUACCAAAAUUUACAGAUCAUUUAACAAAAAUUUCGCUUCAC
rnacentral:ncRNA from 1 species